CUUCUAUGUGUCCCCAUAUGGCCGACAACUGAAGAUUAGCCGGUACCUAACUCUUAUCAAAGCCAUACACUCACACUCCAGAUAAGAUUCAACAUUGAUGUGAAUCACAGUAUUGAGCCAUAUACAUAAACCUUUUUUGCUGUCUUAUCAGAUGAAAGUGCCUCGAGAGAUAUUUUUCUAGCCUUUUUCAGAGAGAAAUCAGUGCAGUUGCCCAUUUCGUUCGGUUUAUCCCAAUCCGGGUGGUACUUGCCUUGCUGGUAGUGAUACAUUUUAUGGAUACGCCUUGCUGCAAUUCACACGAACUACUGAACAGGUGGCCAGGUCAAAAAUAUGCUAUGGGGCCAACCCGAAAAUUAAAACACCCCGCCUUCUAGUUGUGGUGGUGCAGAUAACAACGUAAACUUAAGCAAUGAUAAAGCAGAAGGUAGACGAUAAUGGUCUAGACUAUGGAAGUAAUCCAACCACCGGCAAUGCUCUCCCGUUGCACACUAAAGCUGCAUCUGGUGGUAGCUGGCUCGUUGAACUGGAUGAACCACUCGCGGAAGCCCCACAAUGCUGGGGUCUGUGGCGGCUUUAAUAAAUAGAUGCGCUUUAUUGUUGACUUUAAACUCAGUGUCGCUGCACGGUUUACAAUGUUCGGUACUUGAUUCAUAGUUGCAAAAAUCGGGAUUCCUUGGUUAUUACACACCGUUAAAUGUUAUGUUCUAACAACAGCAACCAUGUUGCUUAUAUAUUUUCAAAUAAAUAUGCUUUAUACGUGACUA